GAUGAACGCUGGCGGCGUGCCUAAUACAUGCAAGUCGAGCGAACAGACGAGGAGCUUUCUCCUCUGACGUUAGCGGCGGACGUGUGAGUAACACGUGGAUAACCUACCUAUAAGACUGGGAUAACUUCGGGAAACCGGAUCUAAUCCCGUAUAAUAUGUUGACCCGCAUGGUUCAAUAGUGAAAGACGGUUUUGCUGUCACUUAGAGAUGGAUCCGCGCCGCAUUAGCUAGUUGGUAAGGUAACGGAUUACCAAGGCAACGAUGCGUAGCCGACCUGAGAGGGUGAUAGGCCACACUGGAACUGUGACACGGUCCAGACUACUCCGGGAGGCAGCAGUAGAGAAUCUUACGCAGAGGGAGGAAGCAUGACGGAGCAAAGCCGCGUGAGUGAUGAAGGUCUUCGGAUCGUAAAACUCUGUUAUUAGGGAAGAACAAAUGUGUAAGUAACUAUGCACGUCUUGACGGUACCUAAUCAGAAAGCCACGGCUAACUACGUG
rnacentral:rRNA from 1 species